UACGGAGGGAGCUAGCGUUGUUCGGAAUUACUGGGCGUAAAGCGCACGUAGGCGGCUUUGUAAGUUAGAGGUGAAAGCCCGGGGCUCAACCCCGGAAUUGCCUUUAAGACUGCAUCGCUUGAAUCCGGGAGAGGUGAGUGGAAUUCCGAGUGUAGAGGUGAAAUUCGUAGAUAUUCGGAAGAACACCAGUGGCGAAGGCGGCUCUCUAGUACGGUACUGACGCUGAGACGCGAAAGCGUGGGGAGCGAACAGG
rnacentral:rRNA from 1 species